CCUACGGGUGGCAGCAGUGAGGAAUAUUGGUCAAUGGUCGGGAGACUGAACCAGCCAAGCCGCGUGAGGGAUGAAGGUACAGAGUAUCGUAAACCUCUUUUGUCAGGGAACAAAGGCGGGGACGUGUCCCCGGAUGAGUGUACCUGAAGAAAAAGCAUCGGCUAACUCCGUGCCAGCAGCCGCGGUAAUACGGAGGAUGCGAGCGUUAUCCGGAUUUAUUGGGUUUAAAGGGUGCGAGGGGGGGUUGUUAAGUCAGCGGUAAAAGCCUGGGGCUCAACCCCGGCCCGACGUUGAAACUGGCAGUCUCGAGUUGGAGAGAAGUAGGCGGAAUGCGCGGUGUAGCGGUGAAAUGCAUAGAUAUCGCGCAGAACUCCGAUUGCGAAGGCAGCAUGCCGGCUCCACACUGACGCUGAGGCACGAAAGCGUGGGUAUCGAACAGGAGUAGAUACCCUUGUAGUC
rnacentral:rRNA from 1 species